GCUACUACGUCUGGUUAUCUCUACAGAAACCACAACUGCUACUACGUCUGGUUAUCUCUACAGAAACCACAACUGCUACUUCGUCUGGUUAUCUCUACAGAAACCACAACUGCUACUACGUCUGGUUAUCUCUACAGAAACCACAACUGCUACUACGUCUGGUUAUCUCUACAGAAACCACAACUGCUACUUCGUCUGGUUAUCUCUAUAGAAACCACAACUGCUACUUCAUCUGGUUAUCUCUACAGAAACCACAACUGCUACUUCGUCUGGUUAUCUCUACAGAAACCACAACUGCUACUACGUCUGGUUAUCUCUAUAGAAACCACAACUGCUACUUCGUCUGGUUAUCUCUACAGAAACCACAACUGCUACUACGUCUGG